AUUAUUUGGUGCUCCUGGCCGGUUUGGGCUGCAGGAGGUGAGGCUGGAAAAGCCGAGAGCCCAAACUGCAGCCUUGGAGCCUUCUUGGUGGAAUUGCAGCUGGAAACGAAUUGCUGGUUUGAAUUGCUAAUAAUGAUAUAGACUAAUGAGCAACAUCAGAAAUGAUGGCAUGUGUAAUCAGUGCUGCUUGAUAGCAAACAUACAGCAGGUCUGCAGGAGCUCCUGGCAGAGGGGGAGAGGGGAAAGAGAGCACGGCGUGUUUUGGAGAGGCAGAGCUCAGCCCCGAGCUGACAGAGCUGGUUCUGUCUGCAGGGUGUCCUCUUUCGAACUGACAAAGGGAAAGCUGUGCCAGUUCGUGAACCGCUGCUCCACGAGCAAGAUCCUACAGCCGUGCGAAGGAGAUUCGCUCGCGCCUUUCCGAGCACACGCGCGUUGUAUCCCCGCUGCCCGCCCCGUCCCGCUGCCGUCGGUGGGUACGGAGCGGUCCCGGUGCCGUAACGCAGCGCUCGGGGCGGCCCCGCGGCCUCCGCUCGUUUCUCCGUUCUCCCGAACCGAGGGGAAAUCGCACCAAAUCGCGCUCGCGUUUGGUGUUAUUGCGAGCAUUAGCGGUUUGUGCUCGGCUCGUCUCCUCUGGCAACAGGAGAAGCUUGAAAUGUCAAAGGGGAGGGUUAACAAACUCCGCCGGCAUAAAUUGCAAUGCGUGUUCCUUAGGAAAGCCGCUAAGUUAAAAAAAAAUAAAAAAAAUAAAAAAUUAAACCUUCCUGUCUGCGCUUUCUUUCGGCUGCUGUUCACAAUGGAUAAUAAUUCUUACAUUAAGCCCCUUCGGCCCUCCAGGGAAAUCAAAAUUGUAAUAUCAGUUUGCUUUUUAUUGGCUCGGCUCUACGAUCUCG
ensembl:lncRNA